GCCCCUGUAGCUCAAUGGAUAGAGCAUUGGCCUCCGGAGCCAAAGAUGCUGGUUCAAUUCCAGCCAGGGGCA
rnacentral:tRNA from 1 species